ACGGGAGGCAGCAGUGGGGAAUAUUGGGCAAUGGGGGAAACCCUGACCCAGCAACGCCGCGUGAAGGAAGAAGGCUUUCGGGUUGUAAACUUCUUUUAGUAGGGACGAACAAAUGACGGUAGCUAAAGAGGAAGCCACGGCUAACUACGUGCCAGCAGCCGCGGUAAUACGUAGGUGGCAAGCGUUGUCCGGAUUUACUGGGUGUAAAGGGUGCGCAGGCGGGACUGCAAGUUGGAUGUGAAAUACCGAGGCUUAACCUCGGGGCUGCAUCCAAAACUGUGGUUCUUGAGUGGAGUAGAGGUAAGCGGAAUUCCGAGUGUAGCGGUGAAAUGCGUAGAUAUUCGGAGGAACACCAGUGGCGAAGGCGGCUUACUGGGCUCUAACUGACGCUGAGGCACGAAAGUGUGGGUAGCAAACAGGAUUAGAUACCCUGGUA
rnacentral:rRNA from 1 species